rnacentral:rRNA from 1 species
GUGGGGAAUCUUGCGCAAUGGGCGAAAGCCUGACGCAGCCAUGCCGCGUGAAUGAUGAAGGUCUUAGGAUUGUAAAAUUCUUUCACCGGGGACGAUAAUGACGGUACCCGGAGAAGAAGCUCCGGCUAACUUCGUGCCAGCAGCCGCGGUAAUACGAAGGGGGCUAGCGUUGCUCGGAAUUACUGGGCGUAAAGGGCGCGUAGGCGGACAGCUUAGUCAGAGGUGAUAGCCCAGGGCUCAACCUUGGAAUUGCCUUGGAUACUGGCGAUCUUGAGUUUGGGAGGGGGGAGUGGAACUCCGAGUGUAGAGGUGAAAUUCGUAGAUAUUCGGAAGAACACCAGUGGCGAAGGCGACUCACUGGCCAAAUACUGACGCUGAGGCGCGAAAGCGUGGGGAGCAAACAGGAUUAGAAACCCGGGUAGUCC